rnacentral:lncRNA from 10 species
AGUAACUGGCAUUUGGUUAUGGGGUGGCUGUUUUUCUACGUGGACCAAGCAGGGUCCCAGUUCAAGUUUCUGCUGCCUAUCUGAUAAUCUUGAGUGAUGCUAGAAUGUAAGCUGCAUGUGAGCAGGAAUUUUUGUCUGUUUUGCCAUUGAUGUAUCUGAAGCAACUAGAAGAAAUACCUGGCAUAAGGAGACCAAUUUGUUGAAUUGGACAGCUGGAAGCAAGGAAGGGAAAAAGUAUUUCACCGAAAAGGCAGAAGACUGGCAUCAAUUGCAAGCUGUGGAAUCAAGACAACUUUGGCUGAGUCCCAUUUUAUAUAGGACUAAAGGAGAGUGCAGUCCUCAAAGGCAAUAAUAUUUAUGAGAACAAAGAAGACUGUGGAGAAAUUUUAGGCAGUAGAAGAGAGCAGAAAGGCCAAGAGGAUCAGGGUUGAAUAUUCAGUCCAGGUUUAAGUCCUUCAGCAUCUGACAUUCUCCUGGCAACUGUAAUUGAAUCAAUGAUGACUCAUCUGAGAUGAGCAAGUUGGUCCAGUCAGACCAAACAAAAGACAUUCUAUAAUCAGGGGAGAAGUCUUCUCUAUAUCUCUCUUAUAUGAGCAAAUUUAAUGACCUCCACCAUCUCUAAGAACAAGCAGCUAUUUCUGUAGAGAAAGAUCAUCUUUGGAUAACAAUA